rnacentral:rRNA from 1 species
CCGUAGCGAGAGCGAGUCUGAAUAGGGCGUAUGAAGUCAGUUGUAUUCGACCCGAAACCGGGUGACCUACCCAUGUCCAGGUUGAAGUGGAGGUAAAACUCCAUGGAGGACCGAACCGACUCCCGUUGAAAUGGUAGCGGAUGAGGUGUGGGUAGCGGAGAAAUUCCAAUCGAACCCGGAGAUAGCUGGUUCUCUCCGAAAUAGUUUUAGGACUAGCCUCGUAUUAGAUUACCGGAGGUAAAGCACUGAAUGAGCUAGGGGCCGAGAGGUUACUGAACUCUAUCAAACUCAGAAUGCCGGAUAAUUGAUGUACGGGAGUCAGACAGUGUGAGAUAAGUUUCAUUGUCAAAAGGGAAACAGCCCAGACCCACAGCUAAGGUCCCAAAGUACGGUUAAGUGGAAAAGGAUGUGGGGUUGCACAGACAACCAGGAUGUUGGCUUAGAAGCAGCCACUCAUUAAAAGAGUGCGUAAUAGCUCACUGGUCGAGUGACCCUGCGCCGAAAAUUUAACGGGGCUAAAUCGUACACCGAAGCUUGGGAUGCAGUAAUGCAUGGUAGGAGAGCGUCGUAUAAGGGGUGAAGUCAGAGCGUAAGCGCUGGUGGACUUUAUACGAGUGAGAAUGCCGGAAUGAGUAGCGAGAAAUAUGUGAGAAUCAUAUUGGCCGAAAAUCUAAGGUUUUUGGAGGAAGGUUCGUCCGCUCCAAGUAAGCCGGGAGCUAAGGUGAGGCCGAAAGGCGUAGCCGAUGCACAUACGGUAGAUAUUCCGUAGCCGCCAAAAGAUUUAAGUAAGAGGACACCUUGAAAGGACUUGACCCGGGCGAUGGUUGCCCCGGGCGAAAGGGACCGAAAUUUAGUAGGGAAGCAAGUUUGGACGAGGGCGAGAAAAGUCUUAUGUAUAUCUUCGGCGCCCGUACCGCAAACCGACACAGGUAGAUAGGAAGAGAAUUCUAAGGCCAACGGGAGAAGGGUAGUUAAGGAACUCGGCAAAUUGACCCCGUAACUUAGGAAUAAGGGGUGCCACAGCGAUGUGGUCGCAGAGAAUAGGCCCAGGCAACUGUUUAUCAAAAACACAGGUCUCUGCCAAAUCGAAAGAUGAAGUAUAGGGGCUGACACCUGCCCGGUGCUGGAAGGUUAAGAGGAGAUGUGCAAGCAUUGAAUUGAAGCCCCAGUAAACGGCGGCCGUAACUAUAACGGUCCUAAGGUAGCGAAAUUCCUUGUCGGGUAAGUUCCGACCCGCACGAAUGGUGUAAUGAUCUGGGCACUGUCUCAAUUACCCGCCCGGCGAAAUUGUAGUACCGGUGAAGAUGCCGGUUACCCGCGACAAGACGGAAAGACCCCAUGGAGCUUUACUGUAGCUUAAUAUUGGGUUUCGAUAAUUUAUGUAUAGGAUAGGCGGGAGACUAGGAAACCGUGGCGCCAGCCACGGCGGAGUCGACGUUGGAAUACCGCUCUUAAGUUAUUGGAAUUCUAACCUGCGGCCAUGAAUCUGGCCGGGGGACAUUGUUAGGUGGGCAGUUUGACUGGGGCGGUCGCCUCCAAAAAGGUAACGGAGGCGCUCAAAGGUUGGCUCAGCAUGGUUGGAAACCAUGCCUUAGAGUGUAAACGUGUAAGCCAGC